rnacentral:rRNA from 1 species
UACGGGGGGGGCAAGCGUUGUUCGGAAUCACUGGGCGUAAAGGGCGUGUAGGCGGUCCGCUAAGUCCGAUGUGAAAGCCCGGGGCUCACCCCCGGAAGUGCAUUGGAAACUGGCGGACUCGAGUCCCGGAGAGGAGAGUGGAAUUCCUGGUGUAGCGGUGAAAUGCGCAGAUAUCAGGAGGAACACCAAUGGCGAAGGCAGCUCGCUGGAACGGUACUGACGCUGAGGCGCGAAAGCGUGGGGAGCGAACAGG